GGUUCGUUUGAGUCAUAUAGCCACCUGAACUGAACUGAGUGGUUCUGUUGAGUCAUAUAGCUACCUGAACUGAGUGGUUCUGUUGAGUCAUAUAGCCACCUGAACUGAGUGGUUCGUUUGAGUCAUAUAGCCACCUGAACUGAACUGAGUGGUUCUGUUGAGUCAUGUAAGACUUUGGAAAGGGCAGGUGACAUAAGUAAUUAGGCUUUAGGAGGGUGAUAAGGGCUUAACAGGCAGAAUAUAAUCACCUGUAUGGUGGAAAGUGCAUUAUGGCAAAGGGAACAAUCAUAUACACUACUGGUACUGUAUUGAAUUGAACAUUAGUUAUUUGGACAUUUGCUAAUAACAAAAUAAAUGUCAACACUCAAACUGUCAACUAUACUUUAAUUUGAUGCAAGACAUUUUUUGCAUUUUGUCUUUUUUGUAGUUACAAUUUACUGAAACAAAAACUUGCAGUUUCAAUGUCACAUAUAUAAAACGGAAAUAGAUACAUACGAUAUAGAUUAUGAUAAUCUGAAUAGUUAAUUUAAUUUUUUUGUAAAUGUUGAAACUUAUUUUUUUUCUCACUUUAUAAAAUGCUUCCAUCCCUUCUCUGUGGAAUGUAUCGCGAUGACAUACAUUUUUAAACGUUUGGAAAACAUGUAAAAACAUUGGACCUGAAUUAAGUAAGUGCUUAAACGUGGCUAGAAUCAAAUCACAUUACAUACAAUACAGGAACAAAUGACAACAUUUCAUGUACUGUAUAAAUGUACAAGUAAAAAGUAACAUAUAAUACAUGUAUUUAACUCCCAACAAAACAAAUAAAAUGCUUCUCUGUAACAUUACUACAAGGACUUGAUGCUAUGACAUAUUUCACAAGUGUAACUUCAUUCCAGUUCAAUUUUGGAACUCCCAAAAAUGUUCCAGUUUGUGAUGACAUGGCAGUAAUGGCAGGUAGAAUCUAUUGAUGACAGGUAGAAUCUAUUGAUGACAUGGCAGUAAUGGCAGGUAGAAUCUAUUGAUGACAGGUAGAAUCUAUUGAUGACAUGGCAGUAAUGGCAGGUAGAAUCUAUUGAUGACAUGGCAGUAAUGGCAGGUAGAAUCUAUUGAUGACAGGUAGAAUCUAUUGAUGACAUGGCAGUAAUGGCAGGUAGAAUCUAUUGAUGACAUUGAGGACAUCAGAUGUAAUGAGCAGUGUUGACCAGGACACCAGCUGUAAUGAGCAGUGUUGACCAGGACACCAGAUGUAAUGAGCAGUGUUGACCAGGACAGCUGAUGUAAUGAGCAGUGUUGACCAGGACACCAGAUGUAAUGAGCAGUGUUGACCAGGACAUCAGAUGUAAUGAGCAGUGUUGACCAGGACAUCAGAUGUAAUGAGCAGUGUUGACCAGGACAUCAGAUGUAAUGAGCAGUGUUGACCAGGACACCAGAUGUAAUGAGCAGUGUUGACCAGGGCAUCAGAUGUAAUGAGCAGUGUUGACCAGUACACCAGAUGUAAUGAGCAGUGUUGACAAGUACACCAGAUGUAAUGAGCAGUGUUGACCAGGACACCAGAUGUAAUGAGCAGUGUUGACCAGGGCAUCAGAUGUAAUGAGCAGUGUUGACCAGUACACCAGAUGUAAUGAGCAGUGUUGACCAGUACACCACACACUAACUUACACAGGAUUCAAUUAAUUGCAGAUAGUGGGUUUCUGGAUAGCGCUUUGAGAAGUGCAUUUUAUUUGCAUAGCAGCAAAUAAAUGGAGGGAGAUGACACUUACACAGAAAUGGACAGUUACACAUGAAAAUUAACCUUUGAUAUAAAAGUUUGUCCAUUGCUAUCUGGAAAUCCUGUAUCUGCAAGAUUGAAUACCAGCCUAAAUGCUUGUUCCAAAUGUCUAGGGAGCGACCGUUCACAGAUCAUGCUUCUGUUUGUGAGGGCUGUAACAUAGAAUAUAUUAAACACA
ensembl:lncRNA